rnacentral:rRNA from 1 species
AUUUUGACGUUUAGCUUGCAGAAGAAGCACCGGCUAACUCCGUGCCAGCAGCCGCGGUAAUACGGAGGGUGCGAGCGUUAAUCGGAAUUACUGGGCGUAAAGCGCAUGCAGGUGGUUUGUUAAGUUCAGAUGUGAAAGCCCGGGGCUCAACCUCGGAAUUGCAUUUGAAACUGGCAAACUAGAGUACUGUAGAGGGGGUAGAAUUUCAGGUGUAGCGGUGAAAUGCGUAGAGAUCUGAAGGAAUACCGGUGGCGAAGGCGGCCCCCUGGACAGAUACUGACACUCAGAUGCGAAAGCGUGGGGAGCAAACAGGAUUAGAUACCCUGGUAG